CCUACGGGAGGCAGCAGUGAGGAAUAUUGGUCAAUGGACGCAAGUCUGAACCAGCCAUGCCGCGUGCAGGAAGACGGCUCUAUGAGUUGUAAACUUCUUUUGUACGAGGGUAAACGCAGAUACGCGUAUCUGUCUGAAAGUAUCGUACGAAUAAGGAUCGGCUAACUCCGUGCCAGCAGCCGCGGUAAUACGGAGGAUUCAAGCGUUAUCCGGAUUUAUUGGGUUUAAAGGGUGCGUAGGCGGGCUGAUAAGUUAGAGGUGAAAUCUCGAGGCUCAACUUCGGAAUUGCAUUUGAUACUGUUCGGCUAGAGAGUAGUUGAGGUAGGCGGAAUGUAUGGUGUAGCGGUGAAAUGCUUAGAGAUCAUACAGAACACCGAUUGCGAAGGCAGCUUACUAAGCUACUUCUGACGUUGAGGCACGAAAGCGUGGGGAGCAAACAGGAUUAGAUACCCUUGUAGUC
rnacentral:rRNA from 1 species